CUCUCUGAGCAGGAACCACCCUAACGUCCAUGGGCAGAUAAGCGGGUAAACGAAACGUGCCCACACGGCACAUACACACGGGUCCUGACCGCGUGACCACACGGAUGAGCCUCGGGGGCUGCAAUGAGCCAGACGCCAGGGGAACAGACAAAGAAUCCGGGAACCAUCCUGCCCGGGAACACCGCGUGUUCCAGUCCAAAAAGCCCGCUUCAUCGUCCAAUACGCCUGGGAGGGCCCAGGUGAGGAUGGAGGCCACGGGAGCCACGACCCACCGAGGUCACUGGUGACCCUGGAGGCCUUUUAGGAAACACGGACUUGUUCCUCCGGCCACGAACAUGCGAAGCUACAAGGAAGGCGAUACGGCGGACAUCGAGGGAAUGGGCUGUUCAGAAAGGAAGGCCCCACCCACGUGCCCACGGCCACGCUGGACGAGGCUGUGUGCCACCCAGCGCGCCAUGGCAUCGCGAACGCGCAGGUGAGGGCAAGAUUCUGGCCAAGGGAGUCAGUGCCCGUAUUGAGCCUGUUAAGCCCUCAAGAGCCCAGAGAGCUUCCUGAAACGUGUGAAGGGAGAUGAGCAGAAAGG